UACGAAGGGGGCUAGCGUUGUUCGGAAUCACUGGGCGUAAAGGGUGCGUAGGCGGGUCUUUAAGUCAGGGGUGAAAUCCUGGAGCUCAACUCCAGAACUGCCUUUGAUACUGAGGAUCUUGAGUUCGGGAGAGGUGAGUGGAACUGCGAGUGUAGAGGUGAAAUUCGUAGAUAUUCGCAAGAACACCGGUGGCGAAGGCGGCGACCUGGGUAGAUACUGACGCUGAGGUGCGAAAGCGUGGGGAGCAAACAGG
rnacentral:rRNA from 1 species